UACAGAAAGAAGUCUGGUCACAGCUGGCAGCAGCCUAUGCCCCGGGGACCCCCAAGACAUCUCAUCAGUUCCAGGUCGGAGACUCGGCUACAUACAAUGGCACCGAACCCAGAUACUCGAGCCUCACUGGAAAGGACCAUACCUGGUGCUGCUGACCACCCUGACAGCCAUCAAUUCUCAGCCCUCACCAGCCGUGUACUAGCUGUUGGGGCUGAGAGCUGGGACCUAGAGGGACACUCAGCAUGUUUGCCCUGGGUUCCAUCGAGAUAGGUAUAGAGAUAGGCUUGAUUUCUAUUACAAAUGAUGUAACAUUGCAUAUGUUAGUACUCCUAACACUUCUUGGGACUGUG
rnacentral:lncRNA from 1 species